AUUGAACGCUGGCGGCAGGCCUAACACAUGCAAGUCGAGCGGAUGAAGGGAGCUUGCUCCUGGAUUCAGCGGCGGACGGGUGAGUAAUGCCUAGGAAUCUGCCUGGUAGUGGGGGAUAACGUCCGGAAACGGGCGCUAAUACCGCAUACGUCCUGAGGGAGAAAGUGGGGGAUCUUCGGACCUCACGCUAUCAGAUGAGCCUAGGUCGGAUUAGCUAGUUGGUGGGGUAAAGGCCUACCAAGGCGACGAUCCGUAACUGGUCUGAGAGGAUGAUCAGUCACACUGGAACUGAGACACGGUCCAGACUCCUACGGGAGGCAGCAGUGGGGAAUAUUGGACUAAGGGCGAAAGCCUGAUCCAGCCAUGCCGCGUGUGUGAAGAAGGUCUUCGGAUUGUAAAGCACUUUAAGUUGGGAGGAAGGGCAGUAAGUUAAUACCUUGCUGUUUUGACGUUACCAACAGAAUAAGCACCGGCUAACUUCGUG
rnacentral:rRNA from 1 species